rnacentral:tRNA from 1 species
AUUCGAGUGGCAGAGAAGUGCGCUAGAUUUAAGCUCUAGACAUGGAAUAAUUUCCCUUGGAUA